rnacentral:lncRNA from 1 species
CUGUGUAGGAGAUUCAAUGACAUCUUAUGUAGCAAAUCAUAUAGAAACUAUUUUAUAAAAUUCUACAGCUAUUUUAUUGUCUAAAUUUUUGAAUAUCUUAUUUUGUGAUUUCCAUGGAUGUAUUUACAGUAAAAUAAAGUAAUUUUUCCCCUAUUUAUCAAAAAAAAAAAGAAACGAACUUACCAUGCGGUGGGGGGACCUCAGCUGCAGUUGAUGCCAUUGAUUCACCACGACUUGGUCCAGAAACCGCGGCGU